rnacentral:rRNA from 1 species
CCCUUAGAUGUUCUGGGCCGCACGCGCGCUACACUGAUGCAUUCAACGAGUCUAAAACCUGCUCUGAUAGGGGUGGGUAAUCUUUUGAAUGUGCAUCGUGAUUGGGAUAGAUGAUUGCAAUUUUUCAUCUUCAACGAGGAAUGCCUAGUAAACGCAAGUCAUCAGCUUGCAUUGAUUACGUCCCUGCCCUUUGUACACACCGCCCGUCGCUCCUACCGAUUGAAUGAUCCGAUGAAUAUCAUGGAUUGAGGAUGCAAGCAGGUUCGCCUGUCUUCAUCUUCGAGAAGUGAAGUAAAUCUUAUCAUUUAGAGGAGGGAGAAGUCGUAACA